GAGUUUGAUCUUGGCUCAGGAUGAACGCUGGCGGCGUGCCUAACACAUGCGAGUCGAACGGUAACAGGAAGAAGCUUGCUUCUUUGCUGACGAGUGGCGGACGGGUGAGUAAUGUCUGGGAAACUGCCUGAUGGAGGGGGAUAACUACUGGAAACGGUAGCUAAUACCGCAUAACGUCGCAAGACCAAAGAGGGGGACCUUCGGGCCUCUUGCCAUCGGAUGUGCCCAGAUGGGAUUAGCUAGUAGGUGGGUAACGCUCACCU
rnacentral:rRNA from 1 species